rnacentral:rRNA from 1 species
GCCUCGUGAAUUCAUCUCCGGGGGUAGAGCACUGUUUCGGCAAGGGGGUCAUCCCGACUUACCAACCCGAUGCAAACUGCGAAUACCGGAGAAUGUUAUCACGGGAGACACACGGCGGGGGCUAACGUCCGUCGUGAAGAGGGAAACAACCCAGACCGCCAGCUAAGGUCCCAAAGUCAUGGUUAAGUGGGAAACGAUGUGGGAAGGCCCAGACAGCCAGGAUGUUGGCUUAGAAGCAGCCAUCAUUUAAAGAAAGCGUAAUAGCUCACUGGUCGAGUCGGCCUGCGCGGAAGAUGUAACGGGGCUAAACCAUGCACCGAAGCUGCGGCAGCGACGCUUAUGCGUUGUUGGGUAGGGGAGCGUUCUGUAAGCCUGCGAAGGUGUGCUGUGAGGCAUGCUGGAGGUAUCAGAAGUGCGAAUGCUGACAUAAGUAACGAUAA